GAUAAUGUGCCUGACUAAAAGGGUUAUUUUGAUAGAAUAAAUCAUGUAUUUUAUAUACUAUUAUCU
rnacentral:tRNA from 1 species